rnacentral:rRNA from 1 species
UACGGAAGGCAGCAGUAGGGAAUCUUCCGCAAUGGACGAAAGUCUGACGGAGCAACGCCGCGUGAACGAUGAAGGCUUUCGGGUCGUAAAGUUCUGUUGUUAGGGAAGAACAAGUACCGGAGUAACUGCCGGUACCUUGACGGUACCUAACCAGAAAGCCACGGCUAACUACGUGCCAGCAGCCGCGGUAAUACGUAGGUGGCAAGCGUUGUCCGGAAUUAUUGGGCGUAAAGCGCGCGCAGGUGGUUCUUUAAGUCUGAUGUGAAAGCCCACGGCUCAACCGUGGAGGGUCAUUGGAAACUGGGGAACUUGAGUGCAGAAGAGGAAAGUGGAAUUCCACGUGUAGCGGUGAAAUGCGUAGAGAUGUGGAGGAAUACCGGUGGCGAAGGCGGCCCCUGGACAAAGACUGACGCUCAUGUGCGAAAGCGUGGGGAGCAAACAGGGAUUAGAUACCCGU